GUUUCACAUCUCUGGCUGAACAACAUCUCCACCACCUGGGGGUCAGCCAGCGUGGAAAGGUCUCCCAGGUCCUUGUCGUUGCGGGCGACCUGCCUGAGGAUACGCCUCAUGAUCUUCCCUGAGGAUGAAGAAGGGGAGGAACAUGAAAGAAGAACAUGUUGAAUCCCGCCGAUGCACUAUGUUGAUUAGCUUGUCUCCUCUGUAAACACCAUCUGUGCGGCACAAAGAGACAGAGCAGAGAGACACAUACAGUGUGGCGCCAUGGCUCCCUUACCUGCUGUCACCAGGACGACACUUUGAGCAUCCAUCACUCUCUCGCACAGCGACUCGGAGGAAAAACCUGCAAACUGGACGUGCAAACAGAACGUGGAGGGAGAGUUGAGAGGUGAAGCAAGCAGGAAACAGGAGGUAUCACGGAGUGUCUGCUAAAAAGUGAUAAAAAUGUGAUGUUUCAAAAGUUCAGCACUGUUACGUUCUUCCGAAAUGUGUUCGUCAUUCUUGUUUGGUGUGGGUUCACAGUGUGGCGCAUAUUUGUAACAGUGUUAAAGUUGUUUAUACGUCCACCCUCAGUGUGACCUGUAUGGCUGUUGACCAAGUAUGACUUGCAUUCACUUGUGUGUGUGAAAAGCCGUAGA